CUUUGUCUCUCUUUUAAACGUAUCUUAUCCCAUAAUGUUUCCUAGUGACAACUUGACCGAGUUUACUAUAGCAUGGUGACCACUUAAACCCAAAACCAACUAGUGACAACUCAGUCGACUACAGCUUCAGCACUCUCUUUCUUAUCUCGACCACCUUCUUCUUCUUCUUUUAGGUUUAAUUAAGUCUCUACCGUAUGUUUUAAUUCUCUCUUAUCUCUACCUCUCUAUACUAUAAAUAAACGUAUCAUUGCGAGUCAUAUAUAGUGAUUAUAUCAGUACAAGAGAGACUUGUGAGUUAUUAAAGAUGUCGUCGUCUAUAGUUUCUUUGAUGCUAUCUCUUCUUCUCCUGGUGGUGUUGCUUAAUAUGGAUCACGCAUUUGGUGCUCAGACUGAGAUCCGUAAACUUAAAGAUACAAGGAUGAAAUUGGAAGGAGAUGACAACAGAAGCUCCAAAGUGGAGAUGGAACCGAGCAGAUCAAUACGUUGCGGGGGCGGGAAAACUUUUUAAAAACAUGGCGACCAGUUAUCGUACUGAUCAUGGUCAUCUUCCAGGAGGAUACUUGUCUUCUCUCUGUCAGCCAUGCAGCUCGGGAAAAUGUAUUGUUUAUAGGUGUAUUACCACCAAAGUCUGCCAAUACAUCAACGGCUCACCAACGACGUGCACAAGCUCCGAGGACUGUCAACCCGUAUCUAGCAACUGAUCGGAUUAUAAAACUUUGUUAUACAUAUAUCGUGUUUUUUUUUUUUGCUUUUUCUAUGGUUAUUCGUUUCACAUGUAUGUUUGUGUGUUGCCACAUAUAUUCUCAUAUUUUUAUCGGAUGCAAAAUCUUUACAUUAGAAAA